AUGAAAAUCCUGGAGAACAGAGUGGAAGAAACGCGUAUUCCACAUUUCCUGUUGAUUUUCUUUCCUCCCUAAACACUGACCUCCCGCAGUCUUCACUAGCAGGUAAGCCCAUUUUCCUCCCUACACCACCAUAGCCUGUAGGUCCCUAACUUCCAGACCCUGCUCAGGGUUAAACAAGCUGGACACUGAACAGCCUCUGGGGGGUGCCAUGUCUAGCAAGUCCAUGGGAAUGAGAACCGUUGGGUUGUGCAGUCCACACCCUGCACAACUGUAAGCUACUUAACUCCAGGCUCAGAGCCAAGCGAAAAUGCCAGCUUUAUUAUGCUAAUUAGACUAAUGAUCUGCUGACUUUUUGGAGUAAGAGGCUUUGACCUCCCUGCUCAGCACAACCAGAAUGAGGAAGCUUUCAGAAGACAACAGCACCUCAGGGGGCCCCAGCAGCCUCUUCUGCCCCCAAGCUGAGGACUAUGUCCAAAGGGUGUUCUGGCCUCCAGAGCAUCUGGAUGGGUUCCAGGAUAUAAAUGUGACACUGUCAUUGCAUUAAAGUAGUCGAGCUGAAACCCCUGAAAACAAUCGUAGGACGAUGACAAGGUUUUGGCAGCUGCAAUCUUAAAGACCAGGAAGUGAGGGUAACAGAAGCAAAUCAUCAGUGCCUGUCUUUGAACUUGAUGAAACUGUCUCAGCCUCAUGACCUGUGGUACUAGACAGAGACCACAACACCUUGUCUAUCCAGAGUGUGGGAGCACUGUGUGCAGUUAGCUCCUGGAGGCUUGUCCUCAGUAGGCUUAGGGCAUGAGGAGCCCUGGAAAGCCCAGGACCCCAUGGAGGGCCCUGGAGAAACAGCACCUGUGGCUGAGGGGUUCACAGGCCCAGCGAGAUCCACUCAGGUGAGGUCACCUGUAGAGGUCAUGCUGCGGAGUCCCGAGUCCCUGAUUAUAUUCAAGACGUGGAGCUCUCUUUUUCCCGUCCUGCUUUCUUUCCAGAAGUGCCUCAGAUGCAUCCUCCCCUUCUCUUUUCUCCACAUGAAGACGUCACUGACCAUCUUCUCUGGUUUGCUUUCCAACACCGAGCACCAAGUGCUUCAAAGGUCAUGGUGCCCUGGGGCCGAGAGCUACUUAUGUGGGCAUUUAUAACCAAAUAAAUAUUGAAAUGGCCCACAAAGCAAAUGUUAGUGGUAACCAACAGCGGUAAAACUGGGUACAUGGGACCCUGAACCUUCUUGAAUAUUCCCCAUGAGACCCUGGGCCGACCUUCGGGCUUUCCAGUGUGCUCAGAAAAUCCUCCGUGGCUCCCAGCCCCAGCUUAGUCUUUCAACGGUCCUCGGACUGAAGCAAGAGACAGGGAAGGAAUUGUCCAAGGUUUUCCAGCAUGCUGAGAACACUUACCAUGGUGGAGCCUGGCACGUACUGGCUCUUUGAUGCAUGUGUAUUGGUCUCAAGUAGCCAGAAGCAUCUCCUCUGAGAGCCCUUGCCCUCCAGUUUAAAUGGCAAAUGGAAGGGAAUGGGUUCUGGAAGGCCCCAGGUGGGCUGGGGUGGGUUCUGGAGACCAUCUUCCAACUCCUGUUCAGGAGGAGGGUUGGUCAGAUCAGCUCUGUGGCCACCUGGGCUCUGGAGGGGCGAGAUACGGGCAGGUGCGGCCACAGGAGGGAGAGCACCAUGUGCGGGGGAAGCCCACAGCUGGAACCAAAAGGCCCCAGGAGGGAUCCUGGCUCUGACAUCUCCCAGCCGUGUGGCCUUGGGCAAGGUCCCUGACUUGGACCUCAGCCUCCUCAUCUGUAAAACAGGCAGAACAGUAAUACCGACCUUGUAGGUUGUAUAGAGUUCAUAUACAUCAAGCACUUACCACAGUGCCUGGCGGACCGCAUGCCCUAAACACACAAUCCGUGAAAUGAAUCCAUCAGCAAGCAGCUGCUAGGGGCAGUGUGGGGCAGAGAGGCAGCUGCCUGCUGGAACUGGCUGACAGGAGGAUGAGUGUGUGGCAGGAGGAACGCUCUGCACAGAGGACACUAGGUAGCGUCACCUGUCUCUUACCCUGUGUCUCCACUGGAAUGGAAUGUCAGACUCGCACCAUGCAUUCCUUUCCCUGCCAAAACGCCUCCUCUUAGCAGUGAGCAAGAAAGUUGUUCGAGUGGAUGAAGCCAAAAGCCCAUUUGGCAAGAGUGCUGUUUUGGAAAAUGCUUAGCGGUGUGGGUUGGGAUGAGGUUUUCUGUGCCUUUCCAUUAUUUCUUCAGCUUCAUGUAACCCUGACUGAGCAAUGCUCAGCAGAGUGAAGGCUGGGCAGCAGAUGGACAAGAUUUUCUCAAACUCCUUUUUAAGCCAAUUUCAAAAUAGAGAGAGGGAAAAAUCCUUGUUUUCUCUUUUCGGUUUUGAGAGGUUUCAUAUGCAGACACAAUUUUAAAUUUUAUUUUUUUUGCCCCCAAUGAGAUGUUUGGAGAUGGUGGUACUAGAACAGGAAGGAAUUUAUAAGUAUUGGGGAAUUUUUCAUCCCAAUUCCCAUAUCCUCCUAUAAUUCAAGGAGUGAAUGGGUAGUGUUUUUGUUUUUGUGAGAGGGGUGGCGGAGGGUAGAGAGAGAAAGAGAGAGAGACAGAGAGAGAUUACAUAGAGGUGUCCAAAAUGAACACAGUAAAAACCAGUUUUGAUUAAUUCUGCAAUAUUAAGUAGGCAGCCAAAAAUUUUGGUCUGCUUAAUUCUUAGCUCAUCUAAGUCUCCAGUUGACUGAUUGAUUGAUUGAAUGACUUAUUCAACAUGCGCUAGCCAGACACUGGUCUAGGGCCCAGGAAUUCAGCAAUAAAUGAAACAAGACCAA
rnacentral:lncRNA from 1 species